rnacentral:rRNA from 1 species
UACGGAGGGUGCAAGCGUUAAUCGGAAUUACUGGGCGUAAAGCGUGCGCAGGCGGUUUGUUAAGUCUGUUGUGAAAUCCCCGAGCUCAACUUGGGAAUUGCAAUGGAUACUGGCAGGCUGGAGUAUGGUAGAGGAAGGUGGAAUUCCCGGUGUAGCAGUGAAAUGCGUAGAGAUCGGGAGGAACACCAGUGGCGGAGGCGGCCUUCUGGACCAAUACUGACGCUCAUGCACGAAAGCGUGGGGAGCAAACAGG